CGAGCGCCCUAAUUUUUAUGAGCACUGGCUUUUGUAUCAUCCUAUAAAAAUGUGUUUCAAUGAACAGCAUCCCAUUUUGAUUGGCUCAAAUCAAUGGGUUAUUGAUUGGCAGUGAGACCCCUCCCACCAGGUGAAAGUGUUUCAGAGAACACAUAAUGGAACUGACAUUAGGUCACACUUGGAAUGGAUGUUGACAGAUGGCCUUGGGUUAUGCGUUUGAUUGGAUUGUAACAAUCAACACGUUAUCCCUGUGAAUCACAAGCAGUUGCCAUGGUGCAGGUGAGAGAGGUCAUGGGGCCAUGGGCAGUUCCAGGGUUGGGGUCAUUCUCUUCAGAUUUCGUCGUGUUCUCUCUGCUCUUCCUCCUCCUCUCCAUCAUCCUCGCCCUCUGCACUAACUGUAGAAGGCAUUCCUUUACGCUCCGGGAUGGUGGUGAGGAGGUGGACAGAACCCAGUCACAGCUGGUCAGAGUGGUGAAGCUAGAAGAUGCCCUGGCCGCCAGGGAGAACCCAAUGAUCAAUGACAUCAGAAAAGAUGAGAGUGAUUUCAGUCCCAGACCUGAGGACAGUGUCAUUGGUGUACCGGAUCAGCCUCCUGCUGAGCAGGAUGUCACCUGGUUGAAACCCUGGAGGAGCCACAGGGAGGCACCUGAUCAAGGUGAUUCUCCAAGUGCCUUGCAGAUUGCCAACAGAACCCCCAUGGUCAUGACGAUUAUAUCUCCUUCGCCUCCAGCAACCGUCGACAUUGGUGACCUGAGUGAUGUCCUGAACUUCACACCUGAGCUCCACUUUAUCCCAGCCCCCAUUGUCAUGGUGGAAGUCGACACCCCCCUUGAAUCUUUAUCCCCACCUGUCUAUUCAGAGGACACCCUAGAUGCCACAAUCGUGAGCAGUUUUGAACCUGUUGAUGUCCCCAUUGUGGAGGUCCCCAUCAUGAGCAGCCUUAAACCUGUUGCUGUCCCCAUCCUUGAACCUCUGGUUGUCCCCAUCGUGAGCAUUCUUGAACCUGUGGAAGUCCCCAAUGUGAAUGUCCACAUCGUGAGUAGUUUUGAAUCUGUGGAAGCCCCCAUCGUGGAUCUCCCCAUCAUGGAUGUCACCAUUGUGAACAGCCUUGAACCUCUGCAAGCCCCAAUUGUGGAUGCACCCAUCGUGAGCAGCCUUGAACCUGUUGAACAUGCAGAUGCCACUGUCAUGAAUGACCUUGAUAUCCUGAAUGCUCCAGUUGGCUUAGAGAACCUGGAUGCCCCAGUCAUCAACAGUCUUGACACACUGGUGCUGGACGCUCUUAUUGUAAACAGCCUUGAACCUGUGGACAUCCCUGUCAUCAAUGACCUUGACACUCCAGAUACCCCCAUCAUAAAUAUUCUUGACACCCUGGAGCUGGAUGCUCCCAUCAUAGAUGUCCCCAUUGUGGACAGCCUUGCACCUGUGGAAUUCCCCAUCAUGAAUGACAUUGACCUCCUGGAGAACCCUGCGGAGUUCAGCUCCAGCUUUAACCCUCAGCUUGAAGUAGAGGUUCAUGUGGAGGGUGAGGACCAGAACCAGGGGCUUUGUCUGUGUGUCCAACCUCAGCGUACCUAUGAGAUCAUUGGGGAGCCCAAUCCUGAUGAACCCUCUGGAAGUGGACCUGGCAACCCCAGGCUCUCAAACCAUAGCUGAACUGGUCCAUAACUCCACCACACAUUCUGACGAUGACACAACCACAGUCACCGAGCCAGCGGACCUGGAAAGCCCAGGCUAUGAUACUAUAGCUGAACUGGUCCAGGAUUCGAGUGCAACCACACUGCCUGACGAUGACCCUAUCACAACCACAGUCACAGAGCCAGGGGAUCAGAUAACCCCUGCGUAUGAAACCAUUGCUGAACUGGUCCAUAAAUUGAGCGCAACCACACUGCCUGACGAUGAGCCAAUAAGAACCACAGUCACAGAGCCAGGAGAAGGGCUUGACCUUACAAGCCCUCUCUCAGUGGCAGAGGAGGGUUUCUGUGACGGGGUGGAAUCCAAUGUACGCUAGAGUGAGAAAGAAGCUUAGUAAAAGUACCACCCCACCACCUGUGCUUCCAUCGGAGGACGAGGAACCGGAGGGAUUUUCACCUCCAUUACCAGAGAGAAGUGGAGAGAUGGAGGGAUGAUCAUUGUAGAAUAUCUCAUAAGACUUCAAAUGUGUGUUACGUCAUCAAUUAUAUUUAUAUAGACUCAACUGUGUCAUUUCUGGUGGAACAUGUCUCAGAUGAUGAAGAUAAGGGUUGUACCCAGUACAUAUCUUAUACGAUCUCAUAUGAGACGGGUAUCUCACUGUCCUAUCCUUCAUAUACACUAUUUCCAGUCCUUUCAUUAGCUUUGCAUUGAACUCCGUACAAUGCUAUGCUACAUAUUCCAUAAGGAAGGACCCUAAGCCCAGAGUAGAACUGGGUCACCUAACAUGUUCCAGAGUAGGCUUUAUGUUUGUAUUUACUAACACAUUACAGUGUGAAGUGGCAAUUACACAGUAAUAAAUCAUUGAGUUACAGGUUUCUUUGAGAUUCAUUCAACUUGGUCCACUUAAGAUUCUCUCCCUCUCUAGAAUUACAAACAUUAUACUUUAAUGACAAUAGUGGUGCAUUCUUAAUAAAUAAUGUAUAUCAACAAAUUAAAUGGACAACAUUAUGGGUGUGUCCGAAUACCCAUACUUAAAUAGAAGGCUUUUUGGGUAUGCAAAAAUGUUUUAUAGUAUGUGUCAUUUAGAAAAUGUAGUAUGCUUUAAGUGCAAGGAUGUCAUACUAAUUUUGGCUUUAAAUCAAGUAGAAUUUGCGCAUAGAGAAUGACAGAGGACUCCAGUGGCCAAAAACUUGUUUUAUCAUGGGCAUUGAGGACUUUCACCAUUUUGAAGUAGUUAACUGGAUGGGACUUACUAUGGGUUAAGGAAGGCUAAAAUAAUUCCAUCCAGGUCCAAGGAUAGAUCAGCCAAUGAAUUAUACUUGUGCACAAACAUUACAUAACUGUAGGGGCAGUAAAUCGCCAACCUUGGCUUUAUACCUGUUCAGACAACACACUCCGGAUGGCAGUAUGCAACCUUUCAGUUUGUUUACCAACUGUACUAAAAUGUACUACUUUAAAAUGGAGAUGUCCUCAAUGGUGCUGCCCAUGCUCUUACAGACGCCAUAAUGGGACAGAUACAUUGUUGUGUCCUCUAACUAGCUCUAUGAAUUUGCUGCACACUAUUGAGGAAGAUAAUUGUCUUUUCACACAAGUAUUUGACAACAGCUGAUAAUCAGAAUAGGGGACCCGCUCUACAAAAAUGUAUAAAUAGCAGGGAACAAACGCGUUUGAGCAUUAGAUGAUGCCUUUUCAGUAUGGCUGAGUGGUAUGUUGAUAUUUGUUGCUUACUGCAUACAUUUUUACUAAACAGUACAUUGUAAAUAGUAUGUUGUACUAUUAGUACACAGUAUGUAGUUUUAGUAAAUAGUGGGCAAGUUGGCAUUUCCAUUUAUUUAUUCAAAGCUUUACAGGUGAGGGGUAAAACCAAUCAUUUAGAAUUUACGUACAAUAUAAAACAAAUAUUAAUUCAGUGUUGUAAAAUGUCUAUUGUCAUUAUUAGAACAUAUAGGCUGAGCAGAAUGAAAUACAAGAGGACAGAUGUAAUACACCAUUACAAUACCAC
rnacentral:lncRNA from 1 species